GAUGAACGCUGGCGGCGUGCUUAACACAUGCAAGUCGAACGGAAAGGCCCUGCUUUUGUGGGGUGCUCGAGUGGCGAACGGGUGAGUAACACGUGAGUAACCUGCCCUUGACUUUGGGAUAACUUCAGGAAACUGGGGCUAAUACCGGAUAGGAGCUCCUGCUGCAUGGUGGGGGUUGGAAAGUUUCGGCGGUUGGGGAUGGACUCGCGGCUUAUCAGCUUGUUGGUGGGGUAGUGGCUUACCAAGGCUUUGACGGGUAGCCGGCCUGAGAGGGUGACCGGCCACAUUGGGGCUGAGAUACGGCCCAGACUCCUACGGGAGGCAGCAGUGGGGAAUAUUGCACAAUGGGCGGAAGCCUGAUGCAGCAACGCCGCGUGCGGGAUGACGGCCUUCGGGUUGUAAACCGCUUUCGCCUGUGACGAAGCGUGAGUGGCGGUAAUGGGUAAAGAAGCACCGGCUAACUACGUG
rnacentral:rRNA from 1 species